AGGACUGUGUGUUGAGUGCAUCACAUCUGUUAUGUCGCUGGGUCCUUCUGCAAACCUGAGAGGCAAACAGCAACUCCAGUUUACAGAUGAGAAAGAUGAAAGCUCCAGAUUCUCCACCCUGGUUUCAGGCAUCUAAUUCUGCCACUUCUUGGGACUGACUAAUGACAAGAAAGAAAUAACACAGGAGACAGAAAGAACACUAAACUUCCAAGAGGAGUAGAGAUAUACCAGGAGUUCAAGAUGCUCAUUCUGAUUCUGGCUAUGACCUGCCAGGAUCUCUUACCCAAAGCGGAUACUAACAUCUGUUGUUUUCACUUGGGAUGCCUCAGAUUUUACAAGCCAUAUUAAUUGUCAAGACUGGACAAGUAACUCACCACGUUUAUCUUUUUGCUAGAUUCCAAAGUUAUGUGGCUGAUAUUAAAGUGUCAGUUCCUUGACCUUUGGAUCCACAGAGGAGCCUCAGAGGAUAUUCCCAGCAUUUGAGAGCAAGCUGUGAAAACUUGGUACUGGAAAGAAACGUUACUUGCAGUUUAAUAGUCUUUGGGGUUAGUGUGGUACUGUUUUAAAAAGUACUUUGUGUUCUUGGAGAUUUAGUUGAACAAAUUUAGAGCACAGUGUAAGUUAAUGUCAUUAUUCCUUAGAAUUACUGAAUUUUUAGUGAUAAGAGGUUUGAAAAUAAGUUAUUUUCCUUGUGAUUCUAUAUUAUUGGACUCCUUAGGUAUAUAUACUUGGGAAAGUGCCCUUAGAAGUGCUCUUUGAUCUGCUGCAGAGAACCCUGUUUUCUCAAGAAUGCCUAGGACUCUGGAGAGUAUUAUUCUAGGGACAUCUUGAUGAAUAGGAAAACAUUUUUACAUCCCUCAAACUUGAACUAAUUAAAAUGAACACAGUUGUGGCUGGGUAAAAGGCAAAUGAAAUUUUAAAUAGUGAUUAACAAAAUCUAUAUUCCAGGGUAAGAAAUGAGUAUGGUCAAGGAAAUGAGGCUUAUCAAGUCUUUCCACUUGCCUCACAAAUCUUCUGUGAAUUAAUAAUCACUGACAUUUUUAUGAAACAAUGUCAUUCUCAGCACAAGUCCCCGCUUUCUGUAUUAUGACCACCUUUAUAAAGGCUUACCUCAAAGUGAGAGGAAUUAAAAAGAAGUCUUCACAGAACUCUUCAAACAAUUACCAGAGGAGCAGCAGAGGGAAACAAGGGCUCAACUUAUUCUGCCCUGAAAUAUUCUGUCAAUUGACAUAAAAGUAAUAUGAGUACAUUGAGAAGAGAAUAUAAAUGCCAUAUAAUUACAGAGAACCCAAACUAGAUGAAUUAUCAGGGAAGACUCUGAACUGGAGAAACAGGCUCUGUGACAGUCAUUACCUUUUAAAAGUCUCUUAUUAGAUUAAGGUAUCACAAUUUGAGUUUUCUACGUCCACUAAGGCCCAGUAAAAACCCAUGAAAAUAGAACAAUGUAAAACUUAUUUGUUCAUUAGUAUAAAAGCAAUUUGAAGCAAAAGUACAUCUCUGCUACAUUUCAUUUUCUAAGAAAGAAUGAUAAACUUGCAUUUGAAGUUUGAAACUCUUUUAGCAAUCAAGAGGAACUUUUCUAUGGUUAAAGAUUCUUUAUUAAUCACAGUGAAUUACACCUUCAACAUUAUCUUCAGUCUCUUCCUAAAUUAGUUUAACCUACUUAGAGAGUCUUUUAGGAUGUCAAUGAUAAAGCAAAUUCUUGAGACUAAAAACAUAGGGUCUUCCUCCAAUGACUUCACUUCUCCAUAUAUACAUAAGAGAUGUUCCAUCUGAUACCCUUGGUUCCAAAAAGAGAAACUUGAACAUCAAAGCAAGUAAAGCAAUUGCCUGCUGAUAUAUUAUGAGUGGUGGUAAUUAUACAAGUAGUAAUAGUAAAAUGAGUGAAUGAUAAAAAUUGAAGAGUCUCCCAACACCUCUGAUAGUGCUUAUGAAAAUAAUCAUAAUGUACAGUGUUUUGGGGCAAAUUUAUAGUUUUUUCUAAACUAGCACCUAUCAAUUUUUUUUAUACUCAGAACACUCUUUGAGGUAUGAAAGUCACAUGCCAUUCCAUGAGUUCAGCAGAUUAAUACAUUUAGGCCAAGAGAAAUAAAAUGACUGGUUAAGAUCAUGGAUUUAACAGCAAUCAGGAUGACAAUCCUGGUGUUCCUGGCUCUGAGUCAGAAUUCUUUCUAUAAUAACAGACAGGUGUUAUGUCUAUCAUCUACCAUCACAGCUCUACCCACAUCUUUAUCUCCAAAGAGGAAGUGCUGGUGGCACUAUGGCAGCAUGUACCUCCAUAAGCAUGUAUAAAUAAAAACCCAUGUGCCCAGAUCCCUUCUUUGAAGAAGCUUGGUGAGCACUGACUGUUUUCUCUUGUUUCUUUUCCCUGAGAACUGUGCCAUGGGUCUACCUUUAAUAGAGCUACACUCUUAUGUGGAAUGGAUACAAAUAUUGGCAAACCAUAUAUCUGAUAAGGGGUUAAUAUCUAAAAUAUAUAAGAAACUCAAACAUGUCAGUGGCAAACAUCAACAAUAAACGAACAACAAGAAACACCUCAUUAAAAAAUGGGCUAAGGAUCCGAAUAGACAAUUCUCAAAAGAAGACAUACAAAUGGCCAAUAGGUAUAUGAAGAUAUGCUCAACAACACUCACUAAUCAUCAGGGAAUGCAAACAACACUCACUAAUCAUCAAAACCACAAUGAGGUAUCAUCUCAUACCUAUUAGAAUGGCUAUUAUCAAAAAGACAAAAGAUAACAAGCAUUGGUAAGAAUGUGGAGAAAAGAAAAUCUUGUACAUUGUUGGUGAGAACGCAAAUUAGUACAGCCUUAUUGAAAACAAUAUGGUGGUUCCUCAAGAAAUUAAAAAGAGAACUACCAUAUAAUCUCACAAUCCCACUUCUGAGUAUAUAUCCAAAGGAAAUGAAAUCAGGAUCUUGAAGAGAUAUCUGCACUCCCAUGUUCAUUUCAUCAUUAUUCAAGAUAUGGAAACAACCUAAGUAUCCAUCAACAGAUGAAUGGAUUUAAAAAGUGAUAUAUAUAUAUGAUAUUCCAUGUACAUAUGGAAUGAAAUAUUAUUCAACCUUAAAAAAGAAGGAAAUCCUGGUAUAUGUGACAAUAUGGAUGAAUCUUGAAGACAUUAUGAUAAGUGAAAUAAGCCAGACACAGAAAGACAAAUACCCCAUGAUCUCACUUAUAAGUGAGAUCUAAAAAAAUCAAGCUCAUAAAAGCAGAGAGUAGAAUGGUGGUUGCCAAGGGCUGUGGGUCGGAAAAUGAGAUGUUGGUAAGAGAGUACAAAGGUUAUUACGCAGGAUGAAUAAGUUCUGAAGAUGUAAUGUACAACUUGGUGACUACAGCCAAUAAUACCAUAUUGUACACUUGAAAGUUGCCAAGAGAGUUGAGCUUAAGUGUUUUUACCACACACACAAAAAUUGUAACUAUGUGAGGUGAUAGAUACAUUAAUUAGCUUGGUUGUUGUAAUCAUUUCAUAAUGUUCAUGUAUAUCAAAACAUCAUUUUGUACACAAUUUUUAUUUGUCAAGUAUACUCAAUAAA